rnacentral:lncRNA from 1 species
CACACCAUUUGAUUUGAUAUAUCAAAAUGAUUAAGGCGCUUAGGAUUAACCCACUCAUGCCAUGAAAAGCCUACCUCCACGAUUAACCCCUAGUAAACCCCCUUGAGCCCAACAAACCAAUUCUUGUAUUACCUUUAAUAUUAACCUUUAACCCAUUAUUGUUGAAAUCCUCUAAAUUAAUCCCCAUUUUUGUUUAGAUUUGAGUUGAAUGGAUUGCCU